rnacentral:tRNA from 2 species
GGGUCGAUACCAAAGCGGUCAACUGGGGUGGACUGUAAAUCCACUGGCUUUGCCUUCGCAGGUUCGAAUCCUGCUCGGCCCA